GCCUUGCGCGCGGGGUUGGCUGCCGGGAGGUCGACGCUAGUGCGGUCCCCCGCGCGGCGGAGGGGCCCGGGCCGCGGUAUCUGCGCACUGAGACGUCGGCGGAAGGCUAGAGGCCGUGCUCUCGCCCCCGCAGAAGGCCACCACUCCUUGAGAAGGCCGGAGGGACAAAGCACCGGGCCUGCGCCGGGGGCAUUCAAGAAGGAAGCCAGGCCCGACCGGGGGUGGCGCACGCUUCCCGAACCCCAGGCCCACGGCCCGGUUCCGCGCGGGCAGUUGGCGCCCCCUCGGGUCGGCACAGCAGACCUCUUAGUAAUGGUCCCCAGGGAGUGUGAGUGGGUCCCCGCCAAUCUUUUAAGGUUCAGAGAUCCACCGUCGAACGAAGCCGCUUUUACAACUUCCCCAUUUAGCCUCUUUCCUCCCCCGCCGCUGGCUAAAGCGCUGAACCUUGCCAUCCUCCUGGGGUGCCUAACGAUUUGCCCUGCCUUGGACAGCCAGUCCUCUUCAGGUGGUGGGCUGCUGGUAGGGGUAGGAAGCAAGGCCUGGGGCACAGUUGGGGACCCUCACACCUGAUUUUCUGUUUUAAGGAGGAACUGGGUUUCAAAAAGCUGUAGAGUCAGUGGGAGUUUCCUUUUGUGGCCCUUGGCACUUUUUAAAACACCCAUCUGCAAGGCGGGAACAGCGGAGAAAGUGCUAUGUAGUUCAUAAAAAGGAUAUUGGGAGACUGUUAUCUUAAGAGUUUUUCUAGAGAUUGUUUUGUAAUCUCUCAGUUUAGAGAGUUGAUAUGUCCCGCGCCAUCAGCCCGCUGAAUGGGAUCUUCCUUCAGACAGGGACUGAGAAACGGAAAUACUACCAUCCUCCAGCCAAUCUGUUGGGAGGACUGCUUGCAGAGGACUCGUGCUCCAGAUGUUGCACUAGAGGCGCUGCAAGUGUGAGCAGCAGGUAGAUGAAACUCAAGAGAAAAGGUGUGGAUAAAUGAAACUAGCCCAUGAUGAACCUGUUUUCUCCGUGACCACAAUAUUAACCAGGAUGAAUGGCGGUGGCAGUGGGCCUGCAUCACAGGUUGCAGCAGAUGUUCUCAAUAUUUCUAUUAAAAUUUCCUUAUUUCCAUAUGCAAGAGGAGCCCCAGAGCUGCAUCCUUAUGGUAGCUACCAUGCCGUGAUGUAAGCUGCCAUUCACUGGGGAGCUUUGGCAAUAGAAUUGGCUAGAUCAGGAAGCCUAUGUCAACUAUGGAACAACAACUUGCAGCUCAUCUCUAUUGAUGAUACACUGCCUCUAGGACUGGGACAGAUAGCCACUGAGUACCUGCUUCAAAUCACCCUGCACGUUUUCUCUUUGGAAAGAUAAGCACUGGAGAACCAUCUCGUUACCUUCAGCAGAAAUGGAAACAAAUCAAGACAUUAAGAAUGCCGCAGUGGACAGCAGUUAUGCAAGGUUCAGCAGAGGAAGUUUUCAAGAUGGUGUGCCUCACUAGCCAGAAAUCAGAAAAGAUCGAAGCUAGCCUUUUCAUCUCAGCUGCUCCUUAAAUCAGUGCAACCCCUCCAAAUUAAUGUGAAUUGAAACUUGCAUUGCUUUUCAACUUAAUUGAAUACUUACUAUAUGUGAACCACUGCACAAAAUAGGGGAAGAAGAUGUGGGAGACAAAGAUGUGGAGCCUGUCUUCAAUAAAUUUACAGUUAGUUUCAGGGUACAUUGUUUUUCUUCUGCUGUUAAUUAGGUGUAUCCCCAAGACAAUAAAUACAUGAAUGGAAAAGUAUAUUCUGUGUUUUAAGUCUCUUUAAUAAAAAACAAAACAAAAUCCAAAAAAACUCCUAACAUGGCAACUCAGGACAUUUUAAUCCUUUUUUUUGUUGUUGGGCUUCUGAUAGGAUCCAUUUUAUUGAUUCCAUAAAUAUUUAGUAGACUUUAGACAUAUUAAUACAUUGUAGUUUGAGUUAAUUUGCAUUAAAUUCUGUUUUUUUCCCCUUAGGUAUAGAUUGUCUGUUGGAAAAAUAUAUUGCUUGUGGAUUUCUUGGGGAGUGGGAAGGUGAAUUAUACCUGUUGUCUCUACAGUCCACUACCUUCCACACCCUAGGGCAGUGGUCCCCAACCUUCUUGGCACCAGGGAUCAGUUUCCUGGAAGACAAUUUUUCUGUGGAUGGUGUGGGGAUGGUUUUGGGAUGGAACUGUUCCACCUCAGAUCAUCAGGCAUUAGUUAGGCUCUCAUAACGAGUGCGCAGCCUAGAUCCCUCACAUGCACAGUUCACAGUAGGGUUUGCGCUGCUAUGAGAAUCUAAGGCUGCCACUGAUCUGACAGGAGGCAGAACUCAGGUGGCAAUGCUUACUGGCCCACUGCUCACCUCUUGCUGUGCGGCCUGGUUCCUAAUAGGCCAUGGACCCCCACAGACGGGUACUAGUCUGCAGCCUGUGGACCCCAGCCCUAGGGGCCUGCCAUUCUGAGUGAGUUAUUAGCAUGAAGAAGAGGAAGAUCUGGAUCAAACGUGGGUGAUGGUACUCAGAGACCCAAGAUAGGAUAGGGAUGGAACAAAAUCCAUCUGGGCAACGGCUCUAUGAAAAUUUGGCUAAGUAAUUAUUUCAGUAUUCAUUGUAUUCAUUGUCCUUCGUGUUCCAUAAGUUAAAUGACUGUCUAAUUUUUCCAAAAAUUUAUUUCUGACUUGAGAAUAAGUGUGUCAUGAUUUUCCCAGUGUAAAGACACUGAUAUAACUGUAGAUACCAGACAUUUUAUGUAGUGUCUAUGACACAUUUUAGUAUGUAUGAGCCAACAAUAGACAUGUCUUUGUCUUGAGGAGUGUCCAUCUGAAUUGAAAAUGUGUCAGCUUUUUUUUAACAUCAUCAACAGACUUCUUAAUUAAGCUGCCAAUACAUACUGCCAAUAGCACUGUGUGCUGUCUGAGAAAUGCAUUGUGUAAGUGCUAUUUCCAUCUUAUUAAAUAAACAAUGUUGCUCUGUAUAAACUGGAUUUAAAGUGUUCUUUGAAUGAGGCAUUAUAUUGCUCCAUAAAUAAUGUGAUGUGAAUUCUCAUAUGAUCCCUUUUAACUUAAUUUCUAAAAAAAUAUUAUUUGCUCCUCAGUAAGGAAUAGCUCUAAUUGGACUGGUAACUUUAGUGAUAUGAUUUGUCUGUAACAGGCUGAAUCGCCCCACUCCCAAACUCCUGGUCGUGAUACUGGAUAUUUGUUAUGCCACUUUUAGUUUGCAUGAGGUAUCUUCCAGGAAGUAUUAGUUAUUAACUUGUGUUCUACUAAACUGUAGAUAUUUAUUUCCUGUUCUGGAAGAUUUCUUGGAGUGUCCAUCUGUGCAUUCCUGGUGCCUAGUGUAGUCUUGCUAAUGGAAUAGCACCUUUAUUGGUGCUACUUAGGGGUUGGUAGCUUACAAUCAAUCUACUUGGAACGUAUCCAAAUAAACUGGAUAUUUUUAUACA
rnacentral:lncRNA from 1 species